rnacentral:rRNA from 1 species
GACGAACGCUGGGCGGCGUGCCUAACACAUGCAAGUCGAGCGGAGUCAGUAAGAGGAAGUUUUCGGAUGGAAUCUUAUUGAUUUAGCGGCGGACGGGUGAGUAACGCGUGAGCGACCAACCUUGCACAGGGGGAUAACGGACCGAAAGGUUCACUAAUACCGCAUGAGACCACGGUGUUGCAUGACACAGGGGUCAAAGGAGGAAUCCGGUGCAAGACGGGCUCGCGUCCGAUUAGGUAGUUGGAGGGGUAACGGCCCACCAAGCCUAUGAUCGGUAGCCGACCUGAGAGGGUGAUCGGCCACAUUGGAACUGAGAUACGGUCCAAACUCCUACGGGAGGCAGCAGUGGGGAAUAUUGGGCAAUGGGGGAAACCCUGACCCAGCAACGCCGCGUGAAGGAAGAAGGUUUUCGGAUUGUAAACUUCUGUCCUUGGUGAAGAGAAGAAGACGGUAGCCAAGGAGGAAGCCCCGGCUAACUACGUG